ACUCCUACGGGAGGCAGCAGUGGGGAAUAUUGGACAAUGGGGGCAACCCUGAUCCAGCCAUGCCGCGUGUGUGAAGAAGGCUUUCGGGUUGUAAAGCACUUUCAGUGAGGAGGAAAACCUUACGACUAAUACUCGUGAGGCUUGACGUUACUCACAGAAGAAGCACCGGCUAACUCCGUGCCAGCAGCCGCGGUAAUACGGAGGGUGCAAGCGUUAAUCGGAAUUACUGGGCGUAAAGCGCGCGUAGGUGGUUUGAUAAGCGAGAUGUGAAAGCCCCGGGCUUAACCUGGGAACGGCAUUUCGAACUGUCAGGCUAGAGUAUGGUAGAGGAGUGUGGAAUUUCCUGCGUAGCGGUGAAAUGCGUAGAUAUAGGAAGGAACACCAGUGGCGAAGGCGGCACUCUGGACCAAUACUGACACUGAGGUGCGAAGGCGUGGGGAACAAACAGGAUUAGAUACCCUGGUAGUCCACGCUGUAAACGAUGUCUACUAGCCGUUGGGACUCUUGAAGUCUUAGUGGCGCAGCUAACGCACUAAGUAGACCGCCUGGGGAGUACGGCCGCAAGGUUAAAACUGAAAGGAAUUGACGG
rnacentral:rRNA from 1 species